rnacentral:lncRNA from 1 species
GCAGCGGAAACCACCACUAAGUGGGAACAACCGUCACUGCCAAGAACCCUGCAAGCAAAGGUGGAACUGAUGAGUGCAAAAGGAUGGCUCUGUGUCAGAAACUGCUUCUUAAACUAAUAGGUGUUUUUUGAUUCAAACCAUCAAUUCUAGUUUAUCUGAAACAAAGGGGACAUGCACAAGUGUACAUAAAAUUAAUAAUUUGAGUCACAAUUCCUUCCUCUGACAUACCUAUUAGGCAGAGCUAUAUUAAAAAAAAAAUCAACUUCACUUCUUUUCUCUUUUUUUGUUCAUUCCUUGGUAGAAAUACCAAUACAUAACGGACCAAAAAGACCAAAGAAAAAAAAGGACAAACACAAAAUCGUUCUCUAAACACAAGUGGUCUGUGUCACCACUGUCCUCUCUGCACUUUCACGUUAAGAUACAUAUGGACCCACUAAAUAUGGAGAAUUAGGUUUGUGGAUAUUCCACACAUGCAAUCAUAGAUAAAAACCAGCAGGAGGAUGACAUAAAGUACUCGGAUGAACGUGGACACAAGGUCGGAGCCCAUGGUGCAACCGGAGAAGACGGCUCUGAAUCAGGGCUGCCUGCUUACGAGCAGAAACAGACACGAACACAAAAUGAACCAAGUAUUAAUGCAAAUAUUCUUUCUUAAAAACAAUAAAGCUUCUGGCUUUUUUUAUUAAGAAAAUACCACCUCAGCAAAGUCAAACAUAGAGCUGAUGUUCAGCAUCUGUUCUAAUUAGGAAACACCACGGAGACCACAUCCUGGGAAGACACAGACGGCCAUGGCCGCUGACCCCGGUGGCUGUUACCUGAGGCCAGGACCCCGCGUGCCCACCCUCCCUCAACCAGAC